AUGCUAUAAGUUUUCUUUGAAUUGCCUUUUGAGUCAUUAUCAGUUGUAAAGUAAUUAUGUAUAUGCUGUCACUUUUAUAAUUUUUGUAAAAUACGUGAUAUAACUUUAUGUCUUUAAAUAAAGAAAUAAAAUAUUUCUGUAUUGGUUGUUUGUGUUAUUUGUGGCUAAGGGUUCGAUAUGGUUUUUUGUGAUUGCCUCUUGCAGCAAAGCUCUGUCUGGAGGGAUGUUGUUUGCACGGUCAGCUUAUUUGUUUCAAUGAAAUGAGGGUUAGGUGCGAGGCGUUUCAUCAGCGAUAUAAUAUUGCUUCAUUUUGUAGUAGGGGAAGCUGAUUGUUUCUGUUCCUUCAGAAUAAUUUAAACAAUAUAUCACAUUUGAAGAUAUAUGUUCUGAUGUUAGGUUGUUGGAUAUAAGGAAAAUGUUAAAACAAUUCACAGCCAUCUCAGACAUUAGAAGAAGCAGGGUUGAGCCGCCUGAGGGAUUGCAGUAAGGUGUGAAGGGCCCCAUGGCUGGGUUGCAGGAUUGGCAGUGAAUCAGAUAGCCAAAACAUGGUUUCUUCAGGGUAUUUUUGAGGGUUGUAGUUGUGCAUUAAUUUACAUCGCAGUAAAGUGAGUGCGCAUAAAAGACUUCAUGAGAGUUGCACUGGGCUCUUGGCUCAGGUUGAAGUUUCCAAGGAUGUCUAGCUUGGAGAUUACGGGUUGUUAAUGUACUUUUAUUUCCUUCUGUUAUUGUUGUCACUGUAUCCGGAACAAAGGUGUGGAAUUCUAUUAUGGGAGGAGGAUUCUGGGAAUUGAGGGGUUAUNN
rnacentral:lncRNA from 1 species